rnacentral:rRNA from 1 species
UGGGGAAUUUUGGACAAUGGGCGAAAGCCUGAUCCAGCAAUGCCGCGUGUGUGAAGAAGGCCUUCGGGUUGUAAAGCACUUUUGUCCGGAAAGAAAUCCUUGGCUCUAAUACAGUCGGGGGAUGACGGUACCGGAAGAAUAAGCACCGGCUAACUACGUGCCAGCAGCCGCGGUAAUACGUAGGGUGCAAGCGUUAAUCGGAAUUACUGGGCGUAAAGCGUGCGCAGGCGGUUUGCUAAGACCGAUGUGAAAUCCCCGGGCUCAACCUGGGAACUGCAUUGGUGACUGGCAGGCUAGAGUAUGGUAGAGGGGGGUAGAAUUCCACGUGUAGCAGUGAAAUGCGUAGAGAUGUGGAGGAAUACCGAUGGCGAAGGCAGCCCCCUGGGCCAAUACUGACGCUCAUGCACGAAAGCGUGGGGAGCAAACAGGAUUAGAUACCCUGGUAGUCCACGCCCUAAAACGAUGUCAACUAGUUGUUGGGGAUUCAUUUCCUUAGUAACGUAGCUAACGCGUGAAGUUGACCGCCUGGGGAGUACGGUCGCAAGAUUAAAACUUAAAUGAAUUGACGGGGUCAUAGCUGUUUCCU